GACGAACGCUGGCGGCGUGCUUAACACAUGCAAGUCGAACGGUAAGGCUCCAGCUUGCUGGGGUACACGAGUGGCGAACGGGUGAGUAACACGUGGGUGACCUGCCCUGCACUUCGGGAUAAGCCUGGGAAACUGGGUCUAAUACCGGAUAGGACCAUGGUGUGGAUACUGUGGUGGAAAGUUUUUUCGGUGUGGGAUGGGCCCGCGGCCUAUCAGCUUGUUGGUGGGGUAAUGGCCUACCAAGGCGGCGACGGGUAGCCGGCCUGAGAGGGUGGACGGCCACAUUGGGACUGAGACACGGCCCAGACUCCUACGGGAGGCAGCAGUGGGGAAUAUUGCACAAUGGGCGGAAGCCUGAUACAGCGACGCCGCGUGGGGGAUGACGGCCUUCGGGUUGUAAACUCCUUUCACCAUCGACGAAGGGUUUCUGACGGUAGAUGGAGAAGAAGCACCGGCUAACUACGUG
rnacentral:rRNA from 1 species